UAGCGGUCUCAGUCGUAGGCGGUGACACUGCUGAGGAGGCGGGGGAACGGCUGCAGAGCUAGGAUUUCGCCGAGACAGCGAUGAAGGCAUUCGUGGCACUCGUGGUCACGUUCUUGUGCAUCCAGGCUGGAGAGGGAUGGCGAAGCGGUCCGUCUCUGGCGCCGCUGGUCCGCGGAGGGCGUAAUCAGCCGGAGACCAUCUUCCCCAACUUCUGCCCAUCGUGUACCCGCCCCUGCGGCAGACACUGCUGUCGGCUCGCUGGCUGUGGAUAAGUGGUGGCCUCAGCAGAGGGGAUGUACCGGAACUCAUGCGGUUUGUGGCGGGGGCAGGUGACGCACUGGGCAUAACUCAACUGUGAAUCAGAAGCAUGAAUAGCUCGACGGUGCGUCAGCAUUCAUGUGGCGUUGCAGUGGGGCUCUGAAGUGUUGUUCCCUGUCUCUGUUUAGCGUCCGUCAUGUAACGCCAUUGUGUCAAAAACCCCAUUGCUUCGCGUAGUUAGCCUUGCUUUUUGUACUAUCGAUAGUUGUUUUGUGACACUGAUAAUUAUCUCGUAGUACUGAUAGUUACCUCGUACUACCGAUAGAUAUGGUAUUACUGAUGAUCAUUGCUAUUAACGUCCACUUAAUUCAGUGAUUGUACCCGAAAGCCGCGUUGUAUUAAGUGCUGAUGAACGACAAUAUUAUAAUGUUACAAUG